AGGGAGCUUGCUCCCAAAGGUUAGCGGCGGACGGGUGAGUAACACGUGGGCAACCUGCCUGUAAGACUGGGAUAACUUCGGGAAACCGGAGCUAAUACCGGAUAAUUCUUACCAACACAUGUUGGUAAGCUAAAAGACGGCGCAAGCUGUCACUUACAGAUGGGCCCGCGGCGCAUUAGCUAGUUGGUAAGGUAAUGGCUUACCAAGGCAACGAUGCGUAGCCGACCUGAGAGGGUGAUCGGCCACACUGGGACUGAGACACGGCCCAGACUCCUACGGGAGGCAGCAGUAGGGAAUCUUCCGCAAUGGACGAAAGUCUGACGGAGCAACGCCGCGUGAGUGAUGAAGGUUUUCGGAUCGUAAAACUCUGUUGUUAGGGAAGAACAAGUACGAGAGUAACUGCUCGUACCUUGACGGUACCUAACCAGAAAGCCACGGCUAACUACGUGCCAGCAGCCGCGGUAAUACGUAGGUGGCAAGCGUUGUCCGGAAUUAUUGGGCGUAAAGCGCGCGCAGGCGGUCCUUUAAGUCUGAUGUGAAAGCCCACGGCUCAACCGUGGAGGGUCAUUGGAAACUGGGGGACUUGAGUGCAGGAGAGAAGAGUGGAAUUCCACGUGUAGCGGUGAAAUGCGUAGAGAUGUGGAGGAACACCAGUGGCGAAGGCGACUCUUUGGCCUGUAACUGACGCUGAGGCGCGAAAGCGUGGGGAGCAAACAGGAUUAGAUACCCUGGUAGUCCACGCCGUAAACGAUGAGUGCUAAGUGUUAGAGGGUUUCCGCCCUUUAGUGCUGAAGUAAACGCAUUAAGCACU
rnacentral:rRNA from 1 species